CUACGGGCCGCUCCAGUGGGGGAUAUUGCACAAUGGGCGAAAGCCUGAUGCAGCAACGCCGCGUGAAGGAUGACGGAUUUCGGUCUGUAAACUUCUGUCAGCAGGGAAGAAAAUGACGGUACCUGACUAAGAAGCCCCGGCUAACUACGUGCCAGCAGCCGCGGUAAUACGUAGGGGGCAAGCGUUAUCCGGAAUUACUGGGUGUAAAGGGUACGUAGGCGGCUGAUCAAGUCAGAUGUGAAAGCCCGGAGCUCAACUCCGGGAUUGCAUUUGAAACUGGUCGGCUAGAGUGCAGGAGAGGAAAGUGGAAUUCCUAGUGUAGCGGUGAAAUGCGUAGAUAUUAGGAAGAACACCAGUGGCGAAGGCGGCUUUCUGGACUGUAACUGACGCUGAGGUACGAAAGCGUGGGGAGCGAACAGGAUUAGAUACCCGAGUAGUC
rnacentral:rRNA from 1 species